GGGGCCGUCAUGGUUUUGACGGAGGAUAGAAAAUUAGCAGUUGCAGUGGAGUGGCGAUCCAUAACGCCAAAACAAAAUAACUGACAACAGUUUUAUUUAUGCGAACCGCGCUAAUCGCGUUUCGUGCGCUUGCGCUUAAUUUAGCACCGAAAUAGGUUUCCUCUAGGAGGAACAAGCACGCCCCCUGUGGUUUACUCGUCUCACACAUAGGAGUGGUGUCAUACCAAGACGAUAAGCAUUCUUCUUUGGCUAGGGAAGGGUGACGAAAAUUUAUAGCCUUGUCUACGAUGCUUACGGCAUCCUUGAUCGUAGAUGAAAUAUGAUGCCGUCUAAACUGUAGACGCUGCUAAGGGUCAUUCUUCGGACCGGAGUUCGAUUCUCCGCGACUCCACCA
rnacentral:tmRNA from 1 species